GGGUCAGUAGCUCAAUUGGUAGAGCAGCGGUCUCCAAAACCGCAGGUUGGGGGUUCGAUCCCCUCCUGACCUGCCA
rnacentral:tRNA from 1 species